GUGGGGAAUAUUGGACAAUGGGCGAAAGCCUGAUCCAGCCAUGCCGCGUGUGUGAAGAAGGUCUUCGGAUUGUAAAGCACUUUAAGUUGGGAGGAAGGGUAGUAACCUAAUACGUUGCUACUUUGACGUUACCGACAGAAUAAGCACCGGCUAACUUCGUGCCAGCAGCCGCGGUAAUACGAAGGGUGCAAGCGUUAAUCGGAAUUACUGGUCGUAAAGCGCGCGUCGGUGGUUCAGUAAGUUGGAAGUGAAAUCCCCGGGCUCAACCUGGGAACUGCGUUCAAAACUGCUGAGCUAGAGUACGGUAGAGGGUGGUGGAAUUUCCUGUGUAGCGGUGAAAUGCGUAGAUAUAGGAAGGAACACCAGUGGCGAAGGCGACUACCUGGACUGAUACUGACACUGAGGUGCGAAAGCGUGGGGAGCAAACAGGAUUAGAAACCCCUGUAGUCC
rnacentral:rRNA from 1 species